UCUUGUUUAGGUAUACUUUCAGGCAGAUGAGGUUCAUGCCUGCACUGUGACAUGCUGCGGUCUUUGCCCCGAACUCAAUAUUGUGAUCAGGGAGCUAGUAUGUGGUUUAUACAAUAUGUAUGGUGUCAAGAAGGUUCUUGAAACUGAAUGUGGAUAUAUAGGUUUCUAUUCUAAAAAUACCAUAAAUUUGACUUCAAAGUUCGUUAAUGAUAUCCAUAAAUGGGUGGAACUGUCAUUGGGACAUCAAGAGGUGGUCAUGAUACCUCAAAGAUAGUUGACAGUAUUCAAGAUCAUGGCAUCAAUCAGGUGUGAAUAUUAUCUUUUUGCAAUUUUGAUGGAAAUUAGAUUCGUAGAUAUGUUUUAUACAAUUUAUGUAUUAAACUGCAAAAUUCAAAUUCUUGGAUCUUUGUUCAUUUCUUUAAUUCCCUCAAGUUUAUAUAAUUGGUGGAGAUGGAAAUCAGAAGGAGCAGUUGUUAUAUAUAAGGUAACAUGGUGAAUGAUGCUCUAUAAGCAAUAAAACUUGGUUCUUUAGUGUUCUAUAUUAUUGUUUUUUUUUCUUGAUGCACAAUACAGAAUGUUAAUCUCAAGUUGCUCAUUCUCUUUUUAUUAUGUGGUUCUCUUUCAGAAGUUAGAAGGAAAGGGCUCAAUGUUUCAGUUGUUGAGAUCCCGAAAACCAUCGAUAAUGACAUACCGGUCAUUGACAAGUCAUUUGGCUUUGACACUAUUGUUGAAAAGGCUCAGUGGGAUAUAAAUACAGCCCAUGUUGAAUCCGAAAGUAAGGAGAAUGGUAUAGAGCUUCUGAAGUUGAUGGGUAGCUAUUGUGAUAAGUUUGUGGCUUUAGAAAAAAGCUCGCUUAGGUCGCUAUAGCAUUUAUGGAGUCUUUUUUUUAAAAUAAUGCAUUUUUUAAAAGUAAUGUCAAAAAUAAGAUAUUUUGGACGAAAUUGUAUAUCCGGUACACGAUUUUGCUUGGAAGUCGUGAACGGGUCCACAACUUCAAUGUGUGAACCCCACAAUUUCUUUUUUUUUUUUUUAAAGAUAUUUUAAUAUAUAUAUUUAAAUAUUCAAAUCUCUAAAUUCCAAUUUCCAAAAAUAUAUUCAAAUCUCUAAAUUCCAAUUUCCAAAAAUAUCUUUCUUAUUAAAUAUUUUUCUA